ACCGGGGCAAGGGGCCUAGGGGGCCUAGGGAGCAGAGGGGCCCGGGAAGCCCGACCAGUCAGGCAGGCUAAAUCGGCAGGGACCCGCCCUCGCCACCCAGGCUCCCUGGCAGUCUCAGGUCGCGCCUGCCCGCCCGGACCCCGCCGCUCGGCGCGCGCACGUCCAGGAGGGCGCCCAGGGGGCGCCGCUUCCCCUUCAGCUCCGCUGGGGGCUGGUCCAGCCCCGCGGAUCGGAGCGGAAAGAGUCGGGCGGAGCACGCGGCGGGGCGGGCGGCUGCUUGACAGCUGUGAGCCGAGCGGGCGCGCGGGCAGGUCCACGGGAAGCGUACACGCUCAAGCCCCGGAAGGUCUGGGUGAUAUUGCUGACAUCGUUGGAUGGCCCUGCCAAUGUCUUAGAAGUCAGUCCCAACUGCAGAUUUCUAAACUAAGUCGCAUCACUUCUGACAAACUUCUCCUAAGGGACCAUUUUCUCCUAUCCUCAGACCACCAAGCUGGAAUGAGAGCAGCCAGCCUCGGAGCACACGCCGUGCCAGCUGUGCUUAGUUAAUAACCAGCCAGCUAUCUUGGGGAGGCAUCUCGCGGGGCACUGCGUGAUGAAGCACAGAUCCAUGCCCUACUUUCUGCAAACUUAAGCAAGCGAAACUUUCUUUAACAAUGCCAUGAAAGCAGAGUCCUCGCUGACUUUUCUGGCUGGCUCAGCAGAAGCUGAGAGGGUGUGACAGUGCUUGUACAAGAACUCACUAAUCUCAUUACCGGAUCCUGUGUGUGAAUUUCCCAGGUGUUGUUUUGAGCAGUGAACUCAGAAAGGGCCAAUACUCUGGGAGCAGGGAGGUCACCCUGAGUAUAAUAUGGCCUUAAGGGUAGAGAAAAGCAAUUAAAUGCCACCCGACAAGAAGAAUCUAGGGACUGCGAUGCACUGAGCACUGGGGCUGGGUGGUGGGGGCCUCGAUUGGAAGGAGACAGGAGGAAACAGAGGGGAACAACUGAUGCAUGGUUAUUCUUAGUCUUUGAUUGUCAGCUCUGUUGGGGAUUUGACAUUACCCAUUUUCCUAGAAACGAAGGAAGGGCAUAGGAACGCCUUCAUUUCAUUUUCUGGAAAUAAACGUCUUUAAAGGAAGGAGAUCUCUUCCUUCUAUGGACACCGUCAUAUGACUGACACUGUUAAGGUCAGUGGCUACUGAUUUAAUGUUGAGAGAGACGCUGCAGAAUGGUAAACACAGGCCAAAAUGUUGUGUUGCUUUGGGAUCCCUUGGACAGGAGGCCCUGGUGGAGGUCAUUCCAGGCAUCCUCCUGCCUACAAGGACCCCAACAUCCUUGCCCACUAUGGGCUUGAGGGAGAAAAGGCCUGGCAUCUUAACGUGAGAUGUGGGGCUGAGGUUAGGGAGCAGGAUGGAGGACCAUGGCUGGAGUUGCUAAGUCUCACUGGGGCACUGAGCUGCCCCUAGGGACACCUAGGGGCAUCCCUAGGCAUCUCACUGUGCCACUGAGUCAGAGGACGUGUGACAAUGUUUCCAAUUGAGCAGUAGGGUAUUUUGAAUGCAAACACACACAGUUUCUAAACCCCCCACCACUGACCUCCUCUUAUUUAUUAGAAAAUCCGAAAGAGUUUUCCAGGGUUGACUGGAAGGGUGGAUAAAUCUGACACUAACUGGCCACCUGAACCAUGGAGAGAAAACAGUGUCCUCCAGACAACAAGCACCAUUAGAGAAGCCCUAUCAUGAUGAGAAGGCCUAAGGAUUGUUGCUGUCCACACACAGCUCCAACCCAGAGAAAGGGCAUGCCAGGGACCAGCCAUGUGUCUGUGCUGCAGACAUGGCAUGCUACUCCAUGCUCAGCACUCUAGUCAAGGCUGCAAGUGUUACUGGGAGCAAGGCAGACAGUCCCCGGCCUCAGGGAGCUCACAGUCCAGCAGGAGUAAUAGAUGUUCACUAGUUACACCAGGCAUUGUUUAGUUACAAUGGUCAUAAAUGCUAAGGAGGA
ensembl:lincRNA